GUGCCAGCAGCCGCGGUAAAACGGAGGGUGCAAGCGUUGUUCGGAAUUACUGGGCGUAAAGCGCGUGCAGGUGGUUUUUUAAGUUUCGUGUGAAAUCCCAUGGCUUAACCAUGGAACUGCACGGAAAACUGGAAGGCUUGAGUACGGGAGAAGAGGGCGGAAUUCCCAGUGUAGAGGUGAAAUUCGUAGAUAUUGGGAGGAACACCGGUGGCGAAAGCGGCUCUCUAGACCGAUACUGACGCUCAUACGCGAGAGCGUGGGUAGCAAACAGGAUUAGAUACCCUGGUAGUCC
rnacentral:rRNA from 1 species